AUGCAGGGGUGCUGGCGCAAGCCGGCUGAGAUCGAGCGUAUUGCCGCUCAAUCCCUUACACCUGAUCCGGAUAAUGCCGGCGUAGGAAGUC
rnacentral:ncRNA from 1 species